UACGUAGGUCCCGAACGUUGCGCGGAAUUACUGGGCGUAAAGCGUGCGCAGGCGGUUUUGUAAGUCUGAUGUGAAAUCCCCGGGCUCAACCUGGGAAUUGCAUUGGAGACUGCAAGGCUAGAAUCUGGCAGAGGGGGGUAGAAUUCCACGUGUAGCAGUGAAAUGCGUAGAGAUGUGGAGGAACACCGAUGGCGAAGGCAGCCCCCUGGGUCAAGAUUGACGCUCAUGCACGAAAGCGUGGGGAGCGAACAGG
rnacentral:rRNA from 1 species